UGAGGAAUAUUGGACAAUGGGCGCAAGCCUGAUCCAGCAAUGCCGCGUGCAGGAUGAAGGCCUUCGGGUUGUAAACUGCUUUUGUACGGAGCGAAAAGGUCUGCCCUAAUACGGUGGGCUCAUGACGGUACCGUAAGAAUAAGCACCGGCUAACUACGUGCCAGCAGCCGCGGUAAUACGUAGGGUGCGAGCGUUAAUCGGUAUUACUGGGCGUAAAGCGUGCGCAGGCGGUUAUAUAAGACAGAUGUGAAAUCCCCGGGCUCAACCUGGGACCUGCAUUUGUGACUGUAUAGCUAGAGUACGGUAGAGGGGGAUGGAAUUCCGCGUGUAGCAGUGAAAUGCGUAGAUAUGCGGAGGAACACCGAUGGCGAAGGCAAUCCCCUGGACCUGUACUGACGCUCAUGCACGAAAGCGUGGGGAGCAAACA
rnacentral:rRNA from 1 species